UUUAGUACACUCGAUAAUUUAAUCCACUAUUUGAAUAAAAUCUCAAUUCCGUAUCCAAAUGAGAGAUGUCAUCUUAGAUUAAGAUUAUCUACAAAAAUAUUUCACCAUUUGAUCAUCCAUCUUUAGGGGAAAAAGCAACAUGACUAUAGUGUAGGAGUAAACUGGUAGUUUAAUCCCUUGAUAGGUCAAAUAUCUUAAUAUGAUGUUAUUCGUAGAUGAUAUAUCAACAAUGAUUUUGAACUAGAUUAUCUUUAAAUAAGUAUAACCUACAAUUAAACGACCAAAAUUCUCUCAUGGAAAAUCAUCAUAUGAUUCCUUCACUAGAUAGAUAUAUCAUAAUCUAAAAGGUGUUGAUUUGGCAAUCCUCUAAUUGCAAGGUCUAAUGUUAUUCCUCUAUUUGCUCGAGGAGAAGAUCUUUGUGUCUAAUGUAUUGUGUGCUUAAAUAAUCUGACACUCAUUACUAUGAAAUCAAAGCACAAAAUCAAAUGACUGCAUCAUUUGUUGUUAGCAUCAAAAGAAGAAUGAUCAAAACCAAGCUAAUUAUGCAUUCAGUUAGAAUAACAUCUCAAAGAUAAUUGGCAAAAUCUGGUAAGAUAGGAGUAAGACUAAAUUUGAUAAAUCAUCCUUGUAUGUCAUCAAGUCCGGUAUUCUACAAAUUUUUUUCUUAUUGGCCUGCUUGUUCUAUUCUAUAUUUUUCCAUGUGUUUCUCUUGGUUCAUUCGUGUUUCUAUGAAGUUUCUUGUUCAUGAGUUGCUUUAAUAGUGAUGAUACAAGUUCUCUUACUCCGUGUUGUGUUGUCGUUAUGUUUACCGUCGGUUUUCAUUUUUAUAUUUGUUCUUAUAAAACUUUCGUUAAAAUCAAUGUUUUGAUAUCU
rnacentral:lncRNA from 1 species